CAGGGUUACAGGGUUACAGGGCUACAUGGCUACAGGGCUACAGGGUUACAGGGCUACAGGGUUACAGGGCUACAGGGUUACAGGGCUACAGGGUUACAGGGCUACAGGGGUACAGGGCUACAGGGGUACAGGGCUACAGGGGUACAGGGCUACAGGGCUACAGGGUUACAGGGUUACAUGGCUACAGGGCUACAGGGUUACAGGGUUACAGGGCAACAGGUCUACAUGGCUACAGGGCUACAGGGUUACAGGGCUACAGGGUUACAGGGUUACAGGGUUACAUGGCUACAGGGUUACAUGGUUACAGGGUUACAGGGCUACAUGGUUACAUGGCUACAGGGUUACAGGGUUACAGGGUUACAUGGCUACAGGGUUACAGGGCUACAGGGUUACAGGGUUACAUGGCUACAGGGCUACAUGGCUACAGGGCUACAGGGCUACAGGGUUACAGGACUACAGGGUUACAGGGCUACAGGGCUAGAGGGUUACAGGGCUACAGGGUUACAGGGUUACAUGGCUACAGGGCUACAGAGCUACAGGGUUACAGGGUUACAUGGCUACAGGGCUACAGGGUUACAGGGUUACAGGGCUACAGGGCUACAUGGCUACAGGGCUACAGGGCUACAGGGUUACAGGGCUACAGGGAUACAUGGCUACAGGGUUACAGGGCUACAGGGCUGCAGGGCUACAGGUUUACAGAGCUACAUGGCUACAUGGCUACAGGGUUACAGAGCUACAGGGCUACAGGGUUACAGGGCUACAGGGCUACAGGGCUGCAGGGCUACAGGGUUACAUGGCAACAGGGCUACAGGGUUACAUGGCUACAGGGCUACAGGGUUACAUGGCAACAGGGCUACAGGGUUACAUGGCAACAGGGCUACAGGGUUACAUGGCAACAGGGCUACAGGGUUACAUGGCUACAGGGCUACAGGGCUACAGGGUUACAUGGCAACAGGGCUACAGGGCUACAGGGUUACAUGGCAACAGGGCUACAGGGCUACAGGGUUACAUGGCAACAGG
ensembl:lncRNA